rnacentral:tmRNA from 1 species
GGGGUUGACUGGAUUUGACAGCGGGCAGAAAUGGUAGGUAAGCAUGCAGUGGGUCGGUAAUUUCCACUUAAAUCUCAGUUAUCAAAACUUUAUCUGGCGAAACUAAUUACGCUCUUGCUGCUUAAUCGAAUCACAGUAGAUUAGCUUAAUCCAGGCACUAGGUGCCAGGACGAGACAUCACUCGGAAGCUGUUGCUCCGAAGCAUUCCGGUUCAGUGGU